UACGUAGGGGGCAAGCGUUGUCCGGAAUCAUUGGGCGUAAAGAGCGCGUAGGCGGUCCGGUAAGUCCGCUCUGAAAGUCCGGGGCUCAACCCCGGGAGGCGGGCGGAUACUGUCGGGCUAGAGUCCGGAAGAGGCGAGUGGAAUUCCUGGUGUUGCGGUGAAAUGCGCAGAUAUCAGGAGGAACACCAAUGGCGAAGGCAGCUCGCUGGGACGGUACUGACGCUGAGGCGCGAAAGCGUGGGGAGCGAACAGG
rnacentral:rRNA from 1 species